rnacentral:rRNA from 1 species
UACUGAGUGAGGGCCCUCUGGGUCAACCUCCCACCCGUGUUUAUUGUACCUUGUUGCUUCGGUGCGCCCGCCUCACGGCCGCCGGGGGGCUUCUGCCCCCGGGUCCGCGCGCACCGGAGACACCAUUGAACUCUGUCUGAAGAUUGCAGUCUGAGCAUAAACUAAAUAAGUUAAAACUUUCAACAACGGAUCUCUUGGUUCCGGCAUCGAUGAAGAACGCAGCGAAAUGCGAUAACUAAUGUGAAUUGCAGAAUUCAGUGAAUCAUCGAGUCUUUGAACGCACAUUGCGCCCCCUGGUAUUCCGGGGGGCAUGCCUGUCCGAGCGUCAUUGCUGCCCUCAAGCACGGCUUGUGUGUUGGGCUCCGUCCCCCCGGGGACGGGUCCGAAAGGCAGCGGCGGCACCGAGUCCGGUCCUCGAGCGUAUGGGGCUUUGUCACCCGCUCUGUAGGCCCGGCCGGCGCCAGCCGACAACCAAUCAUCCUUUUUUCAGGUUGACCUCGGAUCAGGUAGGGAUACCCGCUGAACUUAAGCAUAUC